GGUCGCCGUCACCUAGAGGUUGAAGGAGAGUGGCGAGGAAGUUAUGGGAGAUCGACCAAGAUCGAAGGAGGAUUCGACCGGGAGUAUCGCAAGGUGAAGCGACGGCGAUUGCGGCAUUGGAUUAGAGGGGGGUUCGAGGCCGACGGCCUUAGAUCGAGGGAGAAGCCUUCUCCCCCAUGCGAAUCGGCUGGCGGUAGAGUCAAAGGCGAGGGGAAGAAGCGGAUUCCAAGAUUCAUGGAAAGCUCGACGGAUUGAAUCGGGUCACCGGCGACGACCUCUGUAAUCACAGAAGCAGAGGUAAGGGAAGAGUGAUCACUUAGCGAAUUAUGGACGAUAAGUGACCAGUUUGCAAUACCUGUAAAGUUAGAGGUGCUGAACUGAAUCCAAUACCUGUAAAGUUAGAGGUUCUGGACAAAACUGUACUUCCUGGAAAGUAAGAUGACUGGGUUGUAAUUAUCUGUUUUCUAGGGAUGGAAUCUGCAAGGAUCAGAAUCCGAGGACUGAACUGGACAUUUAUGAGCAGCUGGGUAGAAAAAUGACAGAAUCGCCCCUGGAAGUUUCAGCAAGUUGCAAAGAAGUAAACGGAGCAUAACUCGGUCGUUUGACCUCAGAACGACGCACCGUCCGAGGCUGUGGUUUCGUGGCAACAAGAGGAAUCAUCUCAGAGAUAUUUCUGAGAUAUCAGCUCGCCAAUGAGG
rnacentral:lncRNA from 1 species